UAACGCGUGGGUAACCUGCCUCAUACAGGGGGAUAACAGUUAGAAAUGACUGCUAAUACCGCAUAAGCGCACAGGGUCGCAUGACCUGGUGUGAAAAACUCCGGUGGUAUGAGAUGGACCCGCGUCUGAUUAGCUAGUUGGUGAGGUAACGGCCCACCAAGGCGACGAUCAGUAGCCGACCUGAGAGGGUGAUCGGCCACAUUGGGACUGAGACACGGCCCAAACUCCUACGGGAGGCAGCAGUGGGGAAUAUUGCACAAUGGGGGAAACCCUGAUGCAGCGACGCCGCGUGAAGGAAGAAGUAUUUCGGUAUGUAAACUUCUAUCAGCAGGGAAGAAAAUGACGGUACCUGACUAAGAAGCCCCGGCUAACUACGUGCCAGCAGCCGCGGUAAUACGUAGGGGGCAAGCGUUAUCCGGAUUUACUGGGUGUAAAGGGAGCGUAGGCGGCAAGGCAAGUCUGAAGUGAAAGCCCGGUGCUUAACGCCGGGACUGCUUUGGAAACUGUUUAGCUGGAGUGCCGGAGAGGUAAGCGGAAUUCCUAGUGUAGCGGUGAAAUGCGUAGAUAUUAGGAAGAACACCAGUGGCGAAGGCGGCUUACUGGACGGUAACUGACGUUGAGGCUCGAAAGCGUGGGGAGCAAACAGGAUUAGAUACCCUGGUAGUCCACGCCGUAAACGAUGAUUGCUGGGUGU
rnacentral:rRNA from 1 species